rnacentral:rRNA from 1 species
AGGACGAACGCUGGCGGCGUGCUUAACACAUGCAAGUCGAGCGGAAAGGCCCUUCGGGGUACUCGAGCGGCGAACGGGUGAGUAACACGUGGGCAACCUGCCCUUAGCUCUGGGAUAGCUCCGGGAAACCGGAAUUAAUACCGGAUAUGACCUAGGCCGACAUCGGCCGUGGUGGAAAGUUUUUCGGCUAGGGAUGGACUCGCGGCCUAUCAGCUAGUUGGUGGGGUAAUGGCCUACCAAGGCGACGACGGGUAGCCGGCCUGAGAGGGCGACCGGCCACACUGGGACUGAGACACGGCCCAGACUCCUACGGGAGGCAGCAGUGGGGAAUCUUGCGCAAUGGGCGAAAGCCUGACGCAGCGACGCCGCGUGGGGGAUGAAGGCCUUCGGGUUGUAAACCCCUUUCAGCAGGACGAAGCGAAAGUGACGGUACCUGCAGAAGAAGCGCCGGCUAACUACGUGCCAGCAGCCGC